rnacentral:rRNA from 1 species
UGCCAGCAGCCGCGGUAAUACGGAGGGGGCAAGCGUUACUCGGAAUCACUGGGCGUAAAGCGCGCGUAGGCGGUCUAUAAAGUUGGGAGUGAAAUCCCGGAGCUCAACUCCGGAACUGCUCUCAAAACUCAUAGACUAGAGUUAGGUAGAGGAUAGUGGAAUUCCUAGUGUAGAGGUGAAAUUCGUAGAUAUUAGGAGGAACACCAGUGGCGAAGGCGACUGUCUGGGCCUAUACUGACGCUAAGGCGCGAAAGCGUGGGGAGCAAACAGGAUUAGAUA